CAGAAGAAAUGGAGAUCAUCCAGCCUGGAAGGGCCACUAGGAACCCCCGCCCCAAGGAAAACAGCCAUUGAACCUCUGGAGAGCUCUUCUCACAGUAAACUAUAUGAAAUCAUCAUGUGACUUCACAGGAAAUUUGAUCACCGUCUCAGGCGGAGGUCCUGACUCUAAUCCUUUAACAACGCUGGCUGGACUCUGCAAUUAUCACAGUUUCUGAAGAAAGACGCUCAUCGGUAUUCAGGACUCAUCUCGGCAGGCAAAACCUUUAAUGCCUUUGGGAUUUCCU